UCUCAUGGAUGAGCAAAGAAAGUGGUUUCUGGAGAUAGAAUCUACUCCCGACGAAGAUGCUGUGAA
rnacentral:pre_miRNA from 1 species